AUCAGAAUGCCGCGGUGAAUACGUUCCCGGGUCUUGUACACACCGCCCGUCACACCAUGGGAGUUGGUAACGCCCGAAGUCAGUGACCCAACCGUAAGGAGGGAGCUGCCGAAGGCGGGACUGAUAACUGGGGUGAAGUCGUAACAAGGUAGCCGUAUCGGAAGGUGCGGCUGGAUCACCUCCUUUCUAAGGAAGAAGAAGUAAGG
rnacentral:rRNA from 1 species